CUCUGUUGCAUGCUUACGUAAUGUAAAAUAGUAGGCACAUAGUUGAAUGAAGGCUCAGGCGGAGAGGAUCACUUUUCAAAGAUUGUAAAAGAAGUUACGUGGAUAGUGUGUGUUAUGCAGCAAGGAAAGGAAUGGAAAAUCAGAAGACGUGUUUAGAUCACACAAACCAGAGGUGAAAGCUGAAUCUGAGAGGCUUCUGUUUCCAGCAAUAAGGCCAAUAAUACCCCAAGCUCCUGACUGAAACCAAACACUCUGGAGGGACACUCUCACAUGCAGGCCAGAAGGAAUUUGAAUAGAAGGAAACAGGCUAAAGAAGAGAGCUCAUGGCAAAAAUUACAAACCAUACAAGGAAGGCAUUCACCACAGUGAGAAUUUAAUCCUUCCAACACGUGAGCUAGGAACAGCAGCAUUAACAUCACCUGGAAACUUCUUGGAAAUGCAGAACUUCAGACCCACGUAGACCUACUGAGUCAGAAUCUGCUUUUUUUUUCUUUUUCUUUUUUUUUUUUUUUUGAGACAGAGGACAGAGUCUCCCUCUGUUGCUCGGGCGAGAGGGCAGUGGCGCUAUCUCGGCUCACCGCAAGCUCCGCCGCCCUGGUUCACACCAUUCUCCUGCCUCAGCCUCCCGAGUAGCUGGGACUACAGGCACCCGCCACCGCGCCCGGCUAAUUUUUUGUAUUUUUAGUAGAGACGAGGUUUCACCGUAUUAGCCAGGAUGGUCUCGAUCUCCUGACCUCGUGAUCCGCCCGCCUCGGCCUCCCAAAGUGCUGGGAUUACAGGCGUGAGCCACCGCGCCCGGCCUAGAAUCUGCUUUUUAACAACAUAAUUCAAGUUUGAGAAGCUCUGCUAAAAAAAAAAAAAAGCAACAAAAAAGAUGCCCUUCCUUACCUGUUCAGGUACGUGGUUUCUUCAAAUGUUCCUGUGUCUUCCCUAAAUACAAACCUACUUUCUCUGCUGGAUCCUCUCAACCACAUCUAAACAUUUAAAUCUCUCCCAUUCUAAAUCAACAUUCAAGCCAUUUUUAAAAACUGCCCUAUAACCUCUUAUCUCCAGGUAGUGAAUGAUUUAUGCUCUUUUCCUCUACAAAGCCAAACAUCUUCAAAGACUUUCUUAUAUUCUAUUUCUAUUUUGCUUCCUUUAUUUCUCAACACACUUUUAAAAGAGAUCAUUAGCUGUUGUCCCCUAUCAAGUCUUCCUCUUUUUCAUGGUAAUAAUACCCUAGCAUUUAGCCAGGCACCUGACUGUAAAGACGCUAAAGACUGUAAAGGCACUUGAGUAAAUAUCAUUUUCUAGCUUCCCUUCCAGUUCUGUGUGCCCAUGUUUCUAGGUUCUGAUUGUUGGGAUGCUAAUGGAAAUGAUAUGUGUAUCUUCUGAGAAAUUAUCUUAAAUGGAGAGAGUAUAACCUUCUUGUUUCUUACCUCUUUUCUUCUGGUGCAAUGUGGAUGAAAUGCUCAAAUGCCACCAGCCAACAUGGACCAUAAAUUAAAUUUGGAAUGGAAGCCACACAUGACAUGGGAACAAGAUGGAAAACUUUAGGUUAUCAUUGGGAUUUCCUGGCUUUUCCAAUCAACCUAUGGCCUCUAACAAGCUCACAAAACAGCAGGCUGAAGCUAUGUUCAUCUAAAAGCAAAACAUUUGGUCAAUUAAACCAAUUUAAUAAAAAAACUGAAUUUAUUGGAAGGACAGCAAUUUUCUUCUUGAAUAGUUAGUUUGGCAUCAUGUGGGCAAAGCAUUAAACUCUGGAACGUUUUUUCUUCUCCCGAUUUAAAUUUGGAAUUUGAAAGUAUGGCUUUCCUUGUGCUUCCUUUCUUCAAAUUAUGCAGGAGAGUAACUGUAGGUCUCAGAGACAGGUGCCUAUAAAAGCUAGGUCAGUAAAGCAAAUGAAUGGACAAGGUUGUGUCCGUUCAAUAACAGGUGCAUGAAGACAAAUGUAUGUUGUGGUAAUGUUAAAAAGGAAUACAAGACUAUGAAGGGUGGAAGAGGGAGAGAUGAGUGUUGCAGAAAUGUUGACUGAAAAGGAAAAAAUAAAGACCAGAUUUUAGGGAAUAGAGCAGAGAGGGCAAAGAAAUUUCAGUGAAGACCCUGCUUCCACUGGGUUCACGUAGAAGGAGAAAAACACUCCCUCUUGAGGGUGACAAGGUGACUAUGGCAACCAUCUUGAACCGGAACCAGGCCUGAAUUUAUUAACUCUGUGAGGAGUUUGCACUAUAGGUUGAGGAACGACAACCAAAUGGAUAGAAAAAUCUAUCCUAACGCAGGAAUAGAAAAGCAAAUACUGCAUGUUCUCACUUAUAAGUGGGAGCUACAUGAUGAGAACACAUGGACACACAGAAGGAAGCAACACACCCUGGGGCCUGUUGGGAGGUGGAGUGUGGGAGUAGGGAGAGGAUCAGCAAAGAUAGCUACUGGGUAUUGGGCUUGACACCUGGGUGACAAAGUGGUCUGUGCAGCGGACCCCCAUGGCACAAGUCUGCCUGUAUGGCAGACCUGCAUAUGUACUCCUGAACUUAAAAUAAAAGUUAAAUUAAAAAAAGUCUAUUCUAAGAGGAAUUAGUCUUGUAAGUAGAUCAUCCCCACACCUCCAUAUGAGCUGCUUGCCCCAGAAUCACACAUGGUCAUGAGUCAGCAUCUGGGAGGGAAAACAACAGCCCCCGGACC
rnacentral:lncRNA from 1 species